GGUUGCUUAACUCAGUAGGUAGAGUGCCUUCCUUACAAGAAGGAGGUCGCUGGUUCGAUCCCAGCAGCAACCACCA
rnacentral:tRNA from 1 species